rnacentral:tRNA from 1 species
GCCGGGUUAGCUCAGCGUUAGAGCGUCGAUCUCGUAUAUCGAAGGGCGGGGAGUUCAAGUCUCUUCACCCGGCACCA